UUCUCAUCUAUGAAAUAAGAUCAUUAGACCAAAUGACCUCUAAGGUCCUUUCAGGUCCUAAAUAAAGAAUAUUUUGCCCUAUUUUCAGUCUGAGUCAGUAUAAUUUUCUUUUUGUCUCAUUCAAGGACUUCAAAAUUUCAAUGCACAGGACCUACCUAUAAGACUGUCUACUAUAUAAAGGAUUCCUCCUUAAGAGAUGAAGUGGCUCAGGUGAGCUCCUUCAAGGAUAUCUUAAAAAUUAAGCAGCAAGCUCCUGUUUAUAGAUGAUACUGUACCCUUUGUGUUAAGCCCCAAGGGUAGGACAACACCUCAUCACUAAGAUCUACAACCAUUCAGAAGUGUUGAGUCAACAAUCUAGACAGGAAAAUCCAAAUGAAUGAAAAAUGUCCAUAAAUAAGAGUUGACAUUUAUCCCAUACUUAAAGGCUUGCAGACCAAUUUUUCUAUGUAUUAUCUCAACUGAUCAUGACAACAAGCCCUAUGAAGUAAGUGGUUUGAGUAAGUCAUGCUCCAGAAUGAAGUUUCUGUUUCCUCCUAAUUAUAUGGAGGGAAUUAAAUGUGAGUUUCUUGCAUUUUUAGACAUAGUCAAUGUGGGGAUUAGCUUUUUUUUAAACUAUGGAUAUUUGUUCAAUGUUUUUUUUUUUUCAAUUUGAUGAAUAUUUUGAAGAAAUUGAUGGGAUUCUGUGAUAAGACUGGAAAAAAGAGUCAUCAAAGCACUUUUUUCAAUGCACAGAGAGAUCAAAUGGAAGUCCCAGAAAGAUACACAGACAAUCAACAUAGCUUUGGAAGUAUCACAUUGGCUUAAUUGUAUGCUUAAGAGGGAAAACAGGUUGCCUAUAAUAAAAAUUCAUGAUUUCAUGCGAAA